rnacentral:rRNA from 1 species
GACGAACGCUGGCGGAGUGCUUAACACAUGCAAGUCGAACGAAGUGGAGAACGGGUGAGUAACGCGUAAUAAACCUGCCCUUCAGAGGGGGACAACAGUUGGAAAAGACUGCUAAUACCGCAUAAUGAAGGAGGGGAGUGCGGCGGAUUAGCUCGUUGGAGGGGUAACGGCCCCCCAAGGGGAUGAUCAGUAGCCGGUCUGAGAGGAUGAACGGCCACAUUGGGACUGAGACACGGCCCAGACUCCUACGGGAGGCAGCAGUUGGGAAUCUUCCGCAAUGGACGAAAGUCUGACGGAGCAACGCCGCGUGAGUGAUGACGGCCUUCGGGUUGUAAAGCUCUGUUAAUCGGGACGCGGUACCGGAAUAGAAAGCCAUGGCUAACUACGUGCCAGCAGCCGCGGUAAUUC